GAUGAACGCUGGCGGCGUGCUUAACACAUGCAAGUCGAACGAAGCACUUUAUUUGAUUUCCUUCGGGACUGAUUAUUUUGUGACUGAGUGGCGGACGGGUGAGUAACGCGUGGGUAACCUGCCUUGUACAGGGGGAUAACAGUUGGAAACGGCUGCUAAUACCGCAUAAGCGCACAGCAUCGCAUGAUGCAGUGUGAAAAACUCCGGUGGUAUAAGAUGGACCCGCGUUGGAUUAGCUAGUUGGUGAGGUAACGGCCCACCAAGGCGACGAUCCAUAGCCGACCUGAGAGGGUGACCGGCCACAUUGGGACUGAGACACGGCCCAAACUCCUACGGGAGGCAGCAGUGGGGAAUAUUGCACAAUGGGCGAAAGCCUGAUGCAGCGACGCCGCGUGAGCGAAGAAGUAUUUCGGUAUCUAAAACUCUAUCAGCAGGGAAGAUAAUGACGGUACCUGACUAAGAAGCACCGGCUAAAUACGUG
rnacentral:rRNA from 1 species